AGUGAACGCUGGCGGUAGGCCUAACACAUGCAAGUCGAACGGCAGCACAGUAAGAGCUUGCUCUUACGGGUGGCGAGUGGCGGACGGGUGAGGAAUACAUCGGAAUCUACUUUUUCGUGGGGGAUAACGUAGGGAAACUUACGCUAAUACCGCAUACGACCUACGGGUGAAAGCAGGGGAUCUUCGGACCUUGUGCGAUUGAAUGAGCCGAUGUCGGAUUAGCUAGUUGGCGGGGUAAAGGCCCACCAAGGCGACGAUCCGUAGCUGGUCUGAGAGGAUGAUCAGCCACACUGGAACUGAGACACGGUCCAGACUCCUACGGGAGGCAGCAGUGGGGAAUAUUGGACAAGGGGCGCAAGCCUGAUCCAGCCAUACCGCGUGGGUGAAGAAGGCCUUCGGGUUGUAAAGCCCUUUUGUUGGGAAAGAAAAGCAGCAGGUUAAUACCCCGCUGUUCUGACGGUACCCAAAGAAUAAGCACCGGCUAACUUCGUG
rnacentral:rRNA from 1 species